CAGGCAUAAAACCUAUGAUACAGCCACUGCUAAGCAAACAAAGUUUGAUGAUGAUAUACCAAUGCAAGCCUGUGAACCAUAUGGUAUUCACAAGACUAAAGAUGUUGCAAGGGAGGCAGUAUAUGAGUGUCCUGAUGUCAAUGUUAAUGACACUGCUAUUUAUGAAGAAACAUAACUUAUGAAACAGUAAAAACUAACAGUGCAAUUUAAUAUACAUGUACAUGUACACUAUGUGAUACAACAGUAUACAAUGCUUAUGUACUUGCUUGUUAUGCAUACAUACACUCCUAGAUAUACAUUUUAGUUCUGGAGUGUCACUAGAUUCAUAAUAUCUUAAGGUGGGUUCUCAAUAUGA